rnacentral:rRNA from 1 species
AUUGAACGCUGGCGGCAGGCCUAACACAUGCAAGUCGAGCGGAGCGGCAGACGGGUGAGUAAUGCCUAGGAAUCUGCCUGGGAGUGGGGGAUAACGUCAGGAAACGGGCGAUUAUAACGCAUCCUAUCAGAUGAGCCUAGGUCGGAUUAGCUCGUUGGUGGGGUAAAGGCCUAGCAAGGCUACGAUCCGUAACUGGUCUGAGAUGAUGAUCAGUCCCACUGGAACGGAGACACGGUCCAGACGCCUACGGUAGGCAGCAGUGGGGAAUAUUGGACAAUGGGCGAAAGCCUGAUGCAGCCAUGCCGCGUGUGUGAAGAAGGUCUUCGGAUUGUAAAGCAAUUUAAGUUGGGAGGCGUUACCAGCAGAAUAAGCACCGGCUAACUUCGUGCCAGGAGCCGCGGUAAUUC